rnacentral:rRNA from 1 species
GAAAAGCUCGGGGAUGACUUGUGGGUAGCGGUGAAAUUCCAAUCGAGCCCGGAGAUAGCUGGUUCUCCCCGAAAUAGCUUUAGGGCUAGCCUCAAGGUGAGAGAUACGGAGGUAGAGCACUGAAUGUCCUAGGGGGUAUUGCACCUACCGAAGACUAUCAAACUCCGAAUGCCGUCAUCUUAUACUUGGGAGUCAGACUGUGGGUGAUAAGAUUCAUAGUCGAAAGGGCAACAGCCCAGAUCGUCAGCUAAGGUCCCUAAAUGUAAGUUAAGUGGUAAAGGAUGUGGGAUUGCACAGACAACCAGGAUGUUGGCUUAGAAGCAGCCACUCAUUCAAAGAGUGCGUAAUAGCUCACUGGUCGAGUGAUCCUGCGCCGAAGAUUUCCGGGGCUAAAACUUACUACCGAAGCUACGGCAUCAGUAAUGA